rnacentral:rRNA from 1 species
ACAUGAGUAGCGACAAACAGGGUGAGAGACCCUGUCGCCGAAAGUCCAUGGGUUCCUGCUUAAAGCUAAUCUGAGCAGGGUAAGCCGGCCCCUAAGGCGAGGCCGAAAGGCGUAGUCGAUGGGAACCAGGUUAAUAUUCCUGGGCCAGGAGGAAGUGACGGAUCGCAGGUGUUGUCAGGUCUUAUCGGAUUGAUCUGGCAGCUGAGCGGUUCCUGGAAAUAGCCCUCCACAAGACCGUACCCCAAACCGACACAGGUGGGCUGGUAGAGUAUACCAAGGCGCUUGAGAGAACCACAUCAAAGGAACUCGGCAAAAUGCCUCCGUAAGUUCGCGAGAAGGAGGCCCUGUCUGUGGGCAACCAUGGGCAGGGGGCACAAACUAGGGGGUGGCGACUGUUUACUUAAAACACAGGGCUCUGCGAAGCCGUAAGGCGACGUAUAGGGUCUGACGCCUGCCCGGUGCUGGAAGGUUAAAAGGAGGGGUGCAAGCUCUGAAUUGAAGCCCCAGUAAACGGCGGCCGUAACAUAACGGUCCUAAGGUAGCGAAAUUCCUUGUCGGGUAAGUUCCGACCUGCACGAAUGGCGUAACGAUCUCCCCGCUGUCUCUGAUGUGGACUCAGCGAAAUUGAACUGUGUGUCAAGAUGCACACUUCCCGCGGUUAGACGGAAAGACCCCAUGCACCUUUACUCCAGCUUUGCACUGGCAUCAGGAUUGUGAUGUGCAGGAUAGGUGGUAGGCAUCGAAGCGGGGACGCCAGUUCCCGUGGAGCCUCCCUUGAGAUACCACCCUUCGCACUCUUGAUGUCUAACCGCGGCCCGUUAUCCGGGUCCGGGACCCUGCAUGGUGGGGAGUUUGACUGGGGCGGUCGCCUCCCAAACAGUAACGGAGGCGCGCGAAGGUUGGCUCAGAGCGGUCGGAAAUCGCUCGUUGAGUGCAAUGGCAGAAGCCAGCCUGACUGCAAGACUGACAAGUCGAGCAGAGACGAAAGUCGGCCAUAGUGAUCCGGUGGUCCCAAGUGGGAGGGCCAUCGCUCAACGGAUAAAAGGUACGCUGGGGAUAACAGGCUGAUGAUGCCCAAGAGUCCAUAUCGACGGCAUCGUUUGGCACCUCGAUGUCGGCUCAUCUCAUCCUGGGGCUGGAGCAGGUCCCAAGGGUAUGGCUGUUCGCCAUUUAAAGAGGUACGUGAGCUGGGUUUAGAACGUCGUGAGACAGUUCGGUCCCUAUCUGCCGUGGGUGUAGGAGACUUGAGAAGAGUUGCCCCUAGUACGAGAGGACCGGGGUGAACGUUCCACUGGUGGACCAGUUGUCGUGCCAACGGCAGUGCUGGGUAGCUAUGAACGGACAGGAUAACCGCUGAAGGCAUCUAAGCGGGAAGCCCCCUUCAAAACAAGGUCUCCCUGAGGGCCGUGGAAGACCACCACGUCGAUAGGCCGGAGGUGUAAGCGCAGCAAUGCGUUCAGCUGACCGGUACUAAUUGCUC